rnacentral:rRNA from 1 species
GAGUUUGAUCCUGGCUCAGGAUGAACGCUGGCGGCAUGCCUAACACAUGCAAGUUGAACGAGAAGUUUUGGAGGGAGUCUUCGGACGAACGAAGGGAUGGAAAGUAGCGAACGGGUGAGUAACGCGUGGGCAACCAACCUUACACAGGGGGAUAACACAGAGAAAUCUGUGCUAAUACCGCAUAAGCGCACAGUACUGCAUAGUACAGUGUGAAAAACUCCGGUGGUGUAAGACGGGCCCGCGUCUGAUUAGCUAGUUGGUAGGGUAAAAGCCUACCAAGGCAACGAUCAGUAGCCGACCUGAGAGGGUGAUCGGCCACAUUGGGACUGAGACACGGCCCAAACUCCUACGGGAGGCAGCAGUGGGGGAUAUUGCACGAUGGAGGAAACUCUGAUGCAGCAAUGCCGCGUGAAGGAAGAAGGUCUUCGGAUUGUAAACUUCUAUCAGCAGGGAAGAAAAUGACG